GUCUUUUUGAAUUAAAUUUAAAGUCUAACCUGCCCACUGAAAAUUUUAAAUGGCCGCAGUAUUCUAACUGUGCAAAGGUAGCAUAAUCAUUAGUCUUUUAAUUGAAGGCUGGAAUGAAUGGUUGGACGAAAUAUUAACUGUUUCAUUUAAAUUUUUUAUAGAAUUUUAUUUUUUAGUCAAAAAGCUAAAAUAAAUUUAAAAGACGAGAAGACCCUAUAAAUCUUUAUAUUUUGUUUAUUUUAAUUAUAAAGAUUAUUUUUAUUAUAAUAAAUUAAAAUAUUUUAUUGGGGUGAUAUUAAAAUUUAAAAAACUUUUAAUUUUAAAAACCAUUAAUUUAUGAAUAAUUGAUCCAUUAAUAAUGAUUAAAAAUUUAAGUUACUUUAGGGAUAACAGCGUAAUUUUUUUGGAGAGUUCAUAUCGAUAAAAAAGAUUGCGACCUCGAUGUUGGAUUAAGAUAUAAUUUUGGGUGUAGCCGUUCAAAUUUUAAGUCUGUUCGACUUUUAAAUUCUU
rnacentral:rRNA from 1 species